UGAUGACUUUUAAUUGAAAUUGAUUUUU
rnacentral:piRNA from 1 species